UUCUUUUCUAAUAAACAGGGAACAAAUGAUGUUCGUAAUUUGUAAAACACCUUAUAAUUUACUUUGCCUAAGAACUUUUUUAGAAAGAAAGAGAACACUAUCACAGUUUACAACACAGCUUUGGAACUUACGGCAUACGGGGAACGUUUUUGCAUUAAUUUCACACGCUCCAUGUUGAUGUGAGCAAACUAGUAGUGGGUAUCACGCUGUUGUGUUGACACCAUGAAUCACCCUUGCUGCGUAACCUGCGUUGUGGGCUGCAAGUCCUGCGAUUGGAGACAAGUGAAGAUACGACGCCGUGUGCCUGGGAAAGGCAGCAGGCUCAAUCAGUGGCUGUAGCGCAUUGAAUUGCCCGUUUUGAAUCGGCGGUGGGAUUUACACCUAUGCGGUCGCGAUUCCAACGAACGCGAUUCGGCAUUGAUGUGGAGAGGCAUCCCCUCAAAGACGCACUGCCGUCUUUGUUCCUUCCUGGUGAAAAAUGCCCAUCAAAGCAAGAGCACUGGAGUUCUAACGGUGGAAGAGCCCUUUCCCUGGGAACGAAAGUUCAUUGUGUUUGAGAGCUACCUUCGAGAACUCCUCAUUAACUGCACCAUAUGUGGCCAAGCAGUUGGCAACCUGAACUUCAGUGUCAUGGGAACUCUGGACGUUAUAGGGCGGGUGUGCGAGCGACUACACAAGCUCUGGUGGAGAAGCCAGCAACUUGUUCGAGGUAGUGGAGCUGGAGCCGGCAACUUCCUCCUGGCUGCUGGCAUGCUCUACUCAUGCUGUGUGGUGGCCACAACCAUCCGAUGCCUUGGUGCUCAGAUCAUCACGUAGUGUGCCUUCUACAACUACCAGAGGGCCUACUUGCUUCCUGCAGUAAAACAGCUCGCCCUCAAAAAACAAGCAGCCAUGGUGGAUACACUUGGUGAUUUGCUAAUUGACUUGGCAGGUGACGGGCGAUGUGACUUUCCUGGCUACAGCGCCAAGUAUCUCACGCACAGUGUGCUUGCCAGGCAGAAUGGCUGCAUUUUACACACUGAGCUGGUACAAGUCGGAAGUCACCAAAAGUCCUCUACAAUGUCUCCAUGGAAAAGGAAAGACUUGCUAAGUGCCUGACUGCUGCGGAGAAUCCAGACAUCCACAUACACUAGUUGACAAGUACCACAUGUUUGUGUGAAAUUCGCAAGCGAAUCUAAGAAACAUCAAGUUAAUAAAAGUUUGUCUUUAUGUGAAA